rnacentral:rRNA from 1 species
AAGCCAUGCAUGUCUAAGCACAUGCCUUGAAACGGUAAAGCCGCGAAUGGCUCGGUACAACAGCUACGGUUUACUAGAUUUAAACUCCACUUGGAUAACUGUGGUAAUUCUAGAGCUAAUACAUGCACCUAAGCUCGGACCUCACGGAAAGAGCGCAUUUAUUAGAUCAAGACCAAUCGGGCUUCGGUCCGUGGUUUGAUGACUCUGAAUAACCUAGCAGAUCGCACAGUCUUGCACUGGCGACGUAUCUUUCAAAUGUCUGCCUUAUCAACUUUCGAUGGUAGGUUAUAUGCCUACCAUGGUUAUAACGGGUAACGGAGAAUUAGGGUUCGACUCCGGAGAGGGAGCCUGAGAAAUGGCUACCACAUCCAAGGAAGGCAGCAGGCGCGCAAAUUACCCAAUCCCGGUACGGGGAGGUAGUGACGAAAAAUAACGAGAUAGUCCACUUUGUGGCCUGUCAUCGGAAUGGGUACAAUUUAAAUCCUUUAACGAGGAUCCAUUAGAGGGCAAGUCUGGUGCCAGCAGCCGCGGUAAUUCCAGCUCUAAUAGCGUAUAUUAAAGUUGUUGUGGUUAAAACGCCCGUAGUUGAUUUUUCGACUGUGGCGGUCGGUAGCCCGAGAGGGUUUCACUUGGCUUGUCGAGUCUGAAUUUGGGUUUUCUGUCGAUGCUCUUAACCGAGUGUCGGCAGUGACUCAAGAGUUUACUUUGAAAAAAUUAGAGUGCUUAAAGCAAGCUGUAUGCUUGAAUAGAGUGCAUGGGAUAAUGGAAGAGGAUUUUGAUUCUAUUUUGUUGGUUUUCGGAAUUCAAAUAAUCAUUAAGAGGAACUGACGGGGGCAUUCGUAUUGUUGCGUUAGAGGUGAAAUUCUUGGAUCGUAGCAAGACGAACAACUGCGAAAGCAUUUGCCAAGAAUGUUUUCAUUAAUCAAGGACGAAAGUUAGAGGUUCGAAGGCGAUCAGAUACCGCCCUAGUUCUAACCGUAAACGAUGCCAACUGGCCAUUCGUUGGUGUUACUUUAUGACCCGACGGGCAGCUUCCGGGAAACCAAAGUUUUUUGGUUCCGGGGGAAGUAUGGUUGCAAAGCUUAAACUUAAAGGAAUUGACGGAAGGGCACCACCAGGAGUGGAGCCUGCGGCUUAAUUUGACUCAACACGGGAAAUCUCACCCGGCCAAGACACAAUGAGGAUUGACAGAUUGAUAGCUCUUUCUUGAUUUUGUGGGUGGUGGUGCAUGGCCGUUCUUAGUUGGUGGAGUGAUUUGUCUGGUUAAUUCCGAUAACGAACGAGACUCUGGCCUAUUAAAUAGGCGCGAUAUAUUUGGUAUUGUGUCCUUCUUAAGGGGACUGGUAGCUUCUAGCUACACGAGAUUGAGCAAUAACAGGUCUGUGAUGCCCUUAGAUGUCCGGGGCUGCACGCGCGCUACAAUGAACGUGGCAAAGUGUCUGAUAACCUUGUCCGAUAGGACUUGGCAAUCACGAAUUAUGUUCGUGCUUGGAAUAGGGAAUUGCAAUUAUUUCCCUUGAACGAGGAAUUUCUAGUAAGUAUGAGUCAUAAGCUCAUGUUGAUUACGUCCCUGCCCUUUGUACACACCGCCCGUCGCUACUACUGACUGGAAGAUUCAAUGAAACGCUUGGACUGGGUCAAGUCCGGCUUCGCGGCUGAGCUUGAUCUGGAAAGAUCGUUGAAUUGUAUGUUCUGAAAGAAGUAAAAGUCGUAACAAGGUUUCCGUAGGUGAACCUGCGGAAGGAUC